GAUGAACGCUGGCGGCGUGCCUAAUACAUGCAAGUCGAGCGAACAGAUGAGGAGCUUGCUCCUCUGACGUUAGCGGCGGACGGGUGAGUAACACGUGGAUAACCUACCUAUAAGACUGGGAUAACUUCGGGAAACCGGAGCUAAUACCGGAUAAUAUAUUGAACCGCAUGGUUCAAUAGUGAAAGACGGUUUUGCUGUCACUUAUAGAUGGAUCCGCGCCGCAUUAGCUAGUUGGUAAGGUAACGGCUUACCAAGGCAACGAUGCGUAGCCGACCUGAGAGGGUGAUCGGCCACACUGGAACUGAGACACGGUCCAGACUCCUACGGGAGGCAGCAGUAGGGAAUCUUCCGCAAUGGGCGAAAGCCUGACGGAGCAACGCCGCGUGAGUGAUGAAGGUCUUCGGAUCGUAAAACUCUGUUAUUAGGGGGGAACAAAUGUGUAAGUAACUAUGCACGUCUUGACGGUACCUAAUCAGAAAGCCACGGCUAACUACGUG
rnacentral:rRNA from 1 species